AGUGAUCCGGUGGUUCUGCGUGGAAGGGCCAUCGCUCAACGGAUAAAAGCUCCCCUGGGGAUAACAGGCUUAUCUCCCCCAAGAGUCCACAUCGACGGGGAGGUUUGGCCCCUCGAUGUCGGCUCAUCACAUCCUGGGGCUGUAGUAGGUCCCAAGGGUUGGGCUGUUCGCCCAUUAAAGUGGUACGCGAGCUGGGUUCAGAACGUCGUGAG
rnacentral:rRNA from 1 species